GUGGUUGUAUUAGGGGGUUGUGAUGUAGCUAGGUGGUUGUAUUAGGGGUUGUGAUGUAGCUAGGUGGUUGUAUUAGGGGUUGUGAUGUAGCUAGGUGGUUGUAUUAGGGGUUGUGGUGUAGCUAGGUGGUUGUAUUAGGGGUUGUGAUGUAGCUAGGUGGUUGUAUUAGGGGUUGUGAUGUAGCUAGGGGGUUGUAUUAGGGGUUUUGAUGUAGCUAGGUGGUUGUAUUAGGGGUUGUGAUGUAGCUAGGUGGUUGUAUUAGGGGUUGUGAUGUAGCUAGGUGGUUGUAUUAGGGGUUGUGGUGUAGCUAGGUGGUUAUAUUAGGGGCAGGUCAUGUGUGUACAUGCGAGCAUUAUCAGUCCGGCCGUGGUGGAGGAUACGGGGGCCGGUUCUGGUGGGCCGGUCUGGAUCAAAGUCCAGGGCCAUUCCGCCCCUGCUCUGAGACACUUUGUGGAUACGGGCCCUGAAGAGAUAAGCUUUGUGUUAGCAUUAAGCACAAUAGUGAUGGAUCCACCUAUUCAUCCUAUGUUCUUAGGGAAGGCAGCCAUAUUGUAGACCUAUCAGAGUUUUGAAUUAAAAGGCAAGCAAAGGAGGUAGAGGCUCAGGAAAGUGGCUGGGCUUGUUUUCACAUAGAUCCAGAUAGAAAUACAGUAGAAAUUAAACAGUUAUGGCAUACACACAUUCAUCACUUUCUGUGUCUCACGCUCACACACACAUACAAAGAACAGUGUGAGGGUCACAUAGUGUGGUAGAGGGUGCUGACAGUCCAUUUUUUCAGCCUACGUGGGGGGGGGUGUCCUUCCAUACUGCUGUCGUGUUGCCACGGACAUCAGGUAGGGCAUUGGCGAAGGGGCGUGACCAGCGUCAGGAACUUUCCCCCUCUGCCAGCCCUGAUUAGACGGAGGAGAAUGCAAGUGUUCUGAGGGGGGUGUGUCCACACUUACAAGGCCCCUCCACUCCGGUCCUGAGGGACUCGGCCCUGCUGGUUGAGACAGAAGUAGUCAGACAGGGGGCAUUGUGGGAUAGCACCCUCCGUUUCUUGGAGGACUCGUCAGCUGCUACCAAAGGAGGGGUUCCACGGUGGGCAUCGCGGGAGCGGUAGGGCUAAGAUCCCAGCCACUCAGGUCAUUGGCCGACAACUCUAGACAGCCCAGUUUAGCCAAUGAGGCAGAGCGCUUCAUCAGGGAGGGCAGGGUCAGUCCAGCCUGGCGAAUCCGGGCCUCUACCUCUUUGGCUCUCUGCCGGUCGCUGCCCUUCUGCCUCGCCUCCACACCUUCCCCCCACAGAUGGCCCACACACUUGGGCACCAUGGGUCCACCCUCGCUCUACUGGCGAAGGAACACCCCCAUCUCCCGCGUCUCCUUCAUGAUGUCACCGCGUCCUCGUCCCGGGAGGCUACCCCAGUCUGUGCCCGACUCGAACUCAGUCAUCCCCUCCAGACAAAGGAAGUCCAUGGAGGACAGGGGGGCAUAGCAGAGGGAAGUGUGGUGAGGGGUGAUAGGGGUAGGGUGGUGGGAGGGGGUGAGUGGGUGAGUGGGAGGGACAGGGGAGUUGGGGAGGGGGAGUCAUGCUCCUGCCUCAUUCGCUGCUCCAGGUGUCUGGUUACGUGGCGCACAGAGCCCAUUGCCCAAUCACCAGAGAGAGGGACGGGAGGAGAGUGGGAGACAGCUUUCAUCUCUUUUGCUUUGUCCUUCACUUCCUAUUUGACAGCCUUCACUUCCUGCUGUGACUUUGCAACUUUCUCCUCUACUUCCUGGUUUGACUGACGCAUGUCCUGGUCCUGGGAGAGGCUUGUAGACUCUGGUUGGCUGGAAGGACCCGGGGAAGCGGCCACAGUGUGCCUCAAGGACUCCAGUUCUGUGACUAUGAGGUGAACAGAGACAAUGCUCUC
rnacentral:lncRNA from 1 species